CAGCCGCCGCGGUAAUACAGAGGUCCCGAGCGUUGUUCGGAUUCACUGGGCGUAAAGGGUGCGUAGGUGGUUGGUUAAGUUUGAGGUGAAAGCUCCGAGCUCAACUCGGAAAAUGCCUUGAAGACUAUCUGACUAGAGGAUUGGAGGGGAGAUUGGAAUUCUCGGUGUAGCAGUGAAAUGCGUAGAUAUCGAGAGGAACACCAACGGCGAAGGCAGCUUACUGGACAAGAUCUGACGCUCAGGCUCGAAAGCGUGGGGAGCAAAAGGGAUUAGAUACCCCUGUAGUCCACGCUGUAAACGGUGCGCAUUAGGUCUUGGAGCUUUCGAACGCUCCAGGGCUCAAGCUAACGCAUUAAAUGCGCCGCCUGAGGACUACGGCCGCAAGGCUAAAACUCAAAUGAAUUGACGG
rnacentral:rRNA from 1 species